rnacentral:rRNA from 1 species
CAGUCGCCGCGGUAAUACAGAGGGUGCGAGCGUUAAUCGGAUUUACUGGGCGUAAAGCGUCCGUAGGCGGCUUCUUAAGUCGGAUGUGAAAUCCCUGAGCUUAACUUAGGAAUUGCAUUCGAUACUGGGAAGCUAGAGUAUGGGAGAGGAUGGUAGAAUUCCAGGUGUAGCGGUGAAAUGCGUAGAGAUCUGGAGGAAUACCGAUGGCGAAGGCAGCCAUCUGGCCUAAUACUGACGCUGAGGUACGAAAGCAUGGGGAGCAAACAGGAUUAGAUACCCCCGUAGUCCCUGUCUCUUAUAC